CGUAACUUUAAACAUUGCCAAAUGUCAUAACAGUUACUAUAAUAUCCUUCUUUCUUUUUUGAGUAGUGUGAUAUUGGAUUAGCUAGAUAUUUGUUGUUGGUUGGAAUAGAUGAAUAGUGCUGGCUGGCUACCAUGAUGGUUGCAAAUAGGAAUUUUAUGUGUUAAGGAUUUGGGUAUUUUAUAACUCUAAGAAUGUGAAAAAGCAACAAAUAAAAGAGAAAAUUCAACUCAAUUGUUUCCUUAUUUCUUUUUUAUGUCAUCAUUUAUCAAUCUUCUACAGUUCUACUCUG
rnacentral:misc_RNA from 1 species